AUGAUGCUUAGACACACCUCAACUUGGCAGAAACUGUGCUUGGAAGGUGCCCAGGCUCAAUCCAUCUCGGUGUUGCAAGUAGUGCCCCAGAGCCUGGCAAGAGACUGUUAAUUGGAAAGAAAACCUGUAGCCAUAAGAUCGAGUGACAGCCCAUCUAGCGUAGCCUACAUGUUGGGAAGAGAGGACCAAGAGGGAUCUUCAGAGUAUGAAUUGAGAUUUUUUUCCUCCCCUGGGCUUGAAAUUCCUUCCAGUGGUAUCUUGCCUGUGGGUUAGGGCAUAGUGUCACUGCCAGAAUCAAACACCUUACCUGGGGCAGGCGGCAGAGAGCUGGAGACACGAAGACACUGGGAGGGGUGGGAAGAGCUACGCAACAUGAUGAGGCAUGAAAGCCCAUGAGUGGCCUUUGGCAUAAAUCUAGGAUGUUAGAGCUGAUAAGAAAUCUCAGAAAUCUCUCCAACUCCCUCAUUGGGAAAAAGAAAACAACUAAGUCUCAGAGACAAGGAAUGACUUGGCUGAGGCAAGGCAAGGAGAAGCACCAGAGCUCGGGACCUGAUACACAUGCCAUUGGGCCCUACCCUAGGGCCCUGGAACCUGGGACUGAAACAUUCUGAUGUGGAGAGUAUUAGAGAAGGUAUCACAAAAGAGGCUGAGUGUUCAGGUCUGGAGCUGAGGGCACAGAAGAAUAGUUCAGGAGCUAUUUUGUUGGAGAGAGAGAGGAGCAGAAAUAGGCCGAGGCAGAGGCAUGAAGGCUAGAAGAAUCUCCCCCACAUCUCUAUUUGGUCAAAGGUUCUUCUCCUGGCUUAUAUUCUAUCACCGCGGGAACUUGAGAAUGCAAGAAAAAGAUGGUGAGAAGUCUAUGACCCAGGCCCUCAUCUGCCACGGACUCUUCAGGGGCUUCCCAGAACCACCACUUCCCCUUCUGGACCCUGGUCUUCUCAUGAAAAAUGAGAGAGAAAUGAAGUAGGUGUACUUGGAGGCCUGUGGCUCUGCCCAGUCUCCAAGCUCAAGGCCAGAUUGUGUUUAGGGCAAUCCAUUCAUCUGAGGAUGAACAACUUUCUGUGGGCCUCUUUAGAAAUAAGUUUGCCAUGAUGAUUUCAAGUUCCACCAUGUUUUUAAUGCAUCUGUUCAGGUGAUAUAUUCGACCUGAUGAAUAGAAAGUACAUGAGCCUAAUGUACGAUAUUAGGAGAUAAUUGCAAUGGAUGGAAGUCUCUUGAGUCAAUUAACUCUUAUUACCUGGAAACCAUUUAGAAGAGGCAAUAAAUUAUUGGGACAACACAAUUAGCAGUCCCACAAUAAAACGGGUUUCAUGUGUGCGCCUGUAGGUGCCCCCCAUCUGCUGAGGGCCCAUCAAGUUUAAGGGUACGUGUUUGAGGGGGUUGCUGUGCCCUUUUGUGUUCACAGGAGUGUGUUAACAUGCAGUAGGGCUGACAUAUCCCAGGCUAGACCGAAGCAAUGAAAUAAGCUUUCCACGCCUAGGAACAAUGAUGCCUGUGUCACAGCCAGUCAAUGGCUGCUUCAGUGCCUUGUAGCUAAUAGACUUUCACCAAACGCUGGCCAAUCUGCUGAGUGAUAUUUGAGGCUGGAUGUUGUGAUUCUGUUUAAAGACCAUUUCUAACACUCCCACCCUUGAAUAUAAAAACUAAAAUCGCUCAGCAUUUAAAAAGACUUUUUAAAAAAAAAAUUUUUUUCCCCCUGUCAAGCUACAGGUUCUGUAAUAGCAUAGACAGAAUUGGGAAAAGAACAGUUUUCUGUAAGGAUUCUAGAAGGAACUACCGCAGUAGCAAAUAAGCUCCAAGAGCCCCAUUGAUCUCUUACAUUCGCUUUCAAUCUAUGGAAGAAGAUUGUCUCGCACCCGAGCUGGCCCAAGCUUAGUUCAGCGUGUCUUAAAGCAGCAGAAUCCUGGAUCCUGGCCACUGAAUCUUCACACCAUUUGCUUAUUAAUACAAGCAAGACUCAAAUUCCUGACAGCAGGGGAAGGAA